rnacentral:tRNA from 1 species
CGGAUUAGAGCCAGGUUGGUUAGGCGCCUCGUUUGGGUCGAGGAAUAGUUAGGUUCGAAUCCUAAUAAUCCGA